rnacentral:rRNA from 1 species
AGCAGUAGCCGCGGUAAUACGAAGGGGGCUAGCGUUGCUCGGAAUGACUGGGCGUAAAGGGCGCGUAGGCGGAUUGUUUAGUUAGGCGUGAAAUUCCUGGGCUUAACCUGGGGACUGCGCUUAAUACAGGCAGUCUAGAGUGAGGAAGAGGGUUGUGGAAUUCCCAGUGUAGAGGUGAAAUUCGUAGAUAUUGGGAAGAACACCGGUGGCGAAGGCGGCAACCUGGUCCUUGACUGACGCUGAGGCGCGAAAGCGUGGGGAGCAAACAGGAUUAGAUACCCCCGUAGUCCCUGUCUCUUAUAC